GAUGAACGCUGGCGGCGUGCCUAAUACAUGCAAGUCGAGCGAAUGGAUUAAGAGCUUGCUCUUAUGAAGUUAGCGGCGGACGGGUGAGUAACACGUGGGUAACCUGCCCAUAAGACUGGGAUAAAUCCGGGAAACCGGGGCUAAUACCGGAUAACAUUUUGAACAGCAUGGUUCGAAAUUGAAAGGCGGAUUCGGCUGUCACUUAUCGAUGGACCCGGGUCGCAUUAGCUAGUUGGUGUGGUAACGGCUCACCAAGGCAACGAUGCGUAGCCGACCUGAGAGGGUGAUCGGCCAAACUGGGACUGAGACACGGCCCAGACGCCUACGGGAGGCAGCAGUAGGGAGUCUUCCGCAAUGGUCGAAAGUCUGACGGAGCAACGCCGCGUGAGUGAUGAAGGCUUUCGGGUCGUAAAACUCUGUUGUUAGGGAAGAACAAGUGCUAGUUGAAUAAGCUGGAACCUUGACGGUACCUAACCAGAAAGCCACGGCUAACUACGUGCCAGCCGCCGCCGUAA
rnacentral:rRNA from 1 species